GACGAACGCUGGCGGCGUGCUUAACACAUGCCAGUCGAACGGAAAGGCCCUUCUGGGUAGCCGAGCGCGGAUCGCGUAAGGAUGACUAAGAUGUUAUUAACCUCCCCUCGAGUUUAGGACAGCAAAAGGAGACUAGUACUAAUACCGGCUAGGAGGUGCUGCUCCGUUGUGGGGGUUGGUAAUCUUCGGCGGAUGGGGAUGGGGUCGCGGCUUAUCAGCUUGUUGGUGGGGUAGUGGCUUACCAAGGCGUGGACGGGUAGCCGGCCUGAGAGGGGGACCGGCCACACUGGGACUGAGAUACGGCCCAGACUCCUACGGGAGGCAGCAGUGGGGAAUAUUGCACAAUGGGCGGAAGCCUGAUGCAGCAACGCCGCGUGAGGGAUGACGGCCUUCGGGUUGUAAACCGCUUUCGGCAGGGACGAAGCGUGAGUGACGGUACCUGCUGAAGAAGCACCGGCUAACUACGUG
rnacentral:rRNA from 1 species